CCUGGCUCAGGACGAACGCUGGCGGCAUGCCUAACACAUGCAAAGUCGAACGGGAAUUAGGAUUGGUUGUAGCGAUACUUUCGAUCCUAUUUAGUGGGCGAACGGGUGAGUAACACGUGAGCAACCUGCCUUCUACACAGGGAUAACAGCCGGAAACGGCUGCUAAUACCGGAUAAGACCACACUGAGGCAUCUCAGAGGGGUCAAAGCGAUUUAGCGGUAGAAGAUGGGCUCGCGUCCCAUUAGCUAGUUGGUGAGAUAACAGCCCACCAAGGCGACGAUGGGUAGCCGACUUGAGAGAGUGAUCGGCCACAUUGGAACUGAGACACGGUCCAGACUCCUUCGGGAGGCAGCAGUGGGGAAUAUUGGGCAAUGGAGGAAACUCUUACCCAGCAAUGCCGCGUGAAUGAAGAAGGCCUUCGGGUUGUAAAGUUCUUUUAUUGAUGAUAAAGCAAGUGAUAUUAGUCAAUGAAUAAACCCGGCUAACUAUGUGCC
rnacentral:rRNA from 1 species